rnacentral:sRNA from 3 species
AUCGCGCUUCGUUAGGUGAGGCUCCUACACGAACACAGGCCACUGAUCCGACGACGUCGAGAGACGCCCAGGGUUAGGACAGGUCUUCCCGGCCUAAGGGAUGACCCGAAGUGGCUUCCCGCCCUGGUGGGACACGUCGUGUAGUGCCAAAGCUCUGGUGAGGAAGUGCCCG